UACGUAGGGUGCAAGCGUUGUCCGGAAUUAUUGGGCGUAAAGAGCUCGUAGGCGGUUUGUCGCGUCGAGUGUGAAGAUCCGAGGCUUAACCUCGGACCUGCAGUCGAUACGGGCAGACUAGAGUUCGGUAGGGGAGACUGGAAUUCCUGGUGUAGCGGUGAAAUGCGCAGAUAUCAGGAGGAACACCGGUGGCGAAGGCGGGUCUCUGGGCCGAUACUGACGCUGAGGAGCGAAAGCGUGGGGAGCAAACAGG
rnacentral:rRNA from 1 species